CAAUAUCAGGGUCAUUGACCCAGAACCACGGUUCUUUAACCUCGAUUACUGCAAUCCUUAACAACACAGCCGCAGUGUUAAGGCGUUCACGUAGCGGACAAGUGCGAGGUCUCCAAUAAAGCUGAGCGAGCAGGGUGAUGGCCGAGCAGCAGGUGACAGUUUGUACCGCAGUUGGCCUACCGCUAGUGCGGAUGCCAUCCGAGGCAAGCUGAAAUGAUUAAAGAAACUCUUCCGGUUCCGUUCGCAAUGUUACAACGCUCUUCGAAACAUGUGUGCAGUGUUUAUCGCGUGUUGGUGUGGGCAAGCUGUAGAAGUAGGGUGCCCGUUUUUUCUAUGCUGGCAAAUGGCACAGGCCCCCUGCCAGUCACUGCAGCGCUGCAGGGCGAAGCAGGCAGAGGGCCGUGGAAUCAACUGUUAAAACACAGCCGUGGUUCUUGCUACGCAGGCGCCAUGGCCACGAGUAAAUCCAGCAUAUUAACAUAAUAACAUGCAUGGCCUAUCACCCUGGGAUAGGGGGUUAUCGACUGCACCGCACGCAGGCGCGCUGACAUGGAGGCACGCAGGUACAACUCACGCGGACUUAGGGCCUGGAGGUUUGUUGGUUUGUUCGCGCGGUAAAGUCGACAUGUCUAGGUGCUUCUUCCGUAGGGUGUGAGUUGACACUACACCGCAACAAUACAUAGUUUUCUAUGGCUCAAACAAGUAACACGGCGGAAGGUCCGUGCACACAAUAUCGCUUGCACGUUACAUGCCCGAAAUCCGUGCACACAAUAUCGCUUGCACGUUACAUGCCCGAAAUCCGCGCAUCUUCACAAAGCAAGAAGCGUAGAGUGCAUGAAAACUGCACGAGCAAAGAUCGACCAUCCCACGGAACACAUGCGUACACACCCUGGUUUCGGAUCCAGGUCCUCGAUACCGAUGUUUCGACCACGAGUGAAACGCGUAAGACGGAAUCUCCAAGGGGACUAAUGCCCGUUGGUGAAGUCAUGUUACACUCAGAUUAGGAGUAAGCUGGUUGCGAUAUGCUGUCAUGUUGAUGCUAUUGGCUGAUGGCACUUUCUGCGUGCAGGGAUGCAGGCCCUCGCGGUAGUGAGCAACCUUGACAAAAUGGCAAAGCCCCAGGGGGUAGCUUCGCUCCGGGUUUGUGCAGAAUGGCUUGCUUCCGUGAUGUGGGAAAGGAAGCCCUAAUGCUGAUUCGGCCCUCGCAGUGUAGCACCUCAAGCGCAUCUUCUCUGAAUACCAGCUUUGCUUCGGAAGCGCACCGCGAACUCCCCUACAUGCACCGUUCGAUGCCACGCAAUCCAUCCAGGAAUAAGUAUUCUCGUUAGGAUAAUUCCACACAGGGAACCCCGUGCGGCCAGGGCUCUCGCCUGCGGUACGGUCUAAUGAGGGAACCAACCCAACGGUUCCCACGACCGACCGACAUACAUGUUAGGUAUGUGUGGAAGGGUGCGACGUAUCUUGGAGUCUUUCCGCCCUCAGGAACGUGAAGGGUGGGGUUAUUGUCAUAUCCUGAACUACGCUAAGGAUUUGAGCUGUUGGUGACACGGUGCUCUCUAAGCUAUUCAUGAACGCGACCUUGGUGCCCUCUUCUGUUUUGCCUCUGCGACAGUCCCUACCUACUCACCAAGCAACGAAAGCGAGCUGUUAAUCUCUAAUUCGUCAGGCUGCAUGUUCUUCUUGAGCAACGAAAGGAAAUGCUCCUAAAGCCUCGGGGGAGCAAAAUGACAUUCAUUUGGAAUACAUCCGCAAAACGUUUGGGAUGGCAUCAUUAUCUCACAUCGCGUGCUGCUU
rnacentral:lncRNA from 1 species